AUUGGUGACUGUACAAUGCUGGAAACACCAAUUCCCGUCUGGUCAUCGUAGUUAACUAUUGUUGGGGUCGGUUAGUAAUUUCAUAGAUGACAAGCUGUAAAUACAAAAUGCUAUCAGCC
rfam:Schistosoma curassoni strain Dakar, Senegal genome assembly, scaffold: SCTD_scaffold0013253